rnacentral:rRNA from 1 species
GCUCAGAGACAGAAUGUUGAAAGCACGUCAUCCCGUUCGAUCUGGCCAGUGAAACAACGUUAGGCGUAGUUAAUACCUAGACCGGAGGCGGCUUGGGAAUCCCAGCUGUCGUAAUCU